AUUUGAGUCCCUUUAAUCUUCCACAAGGAUGCUCAAAACGAGCUACAGCAUUAGCAACUUAAAUUGAAAAAAGAAAUAUCAGACACAAGAACAGAUGUAUGGUAAAGUUACUAAUAAAUGCCUUCCAAGAAGAUUAAAAAGGCAUUAUCAGCGAAACUUCCACUAUCGUUGUAGGCCUCCCAUGAAUCAGACAAGCACCAAACCUCAGCUUAUCUGGGAUUAUGAAGGCA
rnacentral:misc_RNA from 1 species